CGAAGGCAAGCGGAUCUCUUAAAGCUGUUCUCAGUUCGGACUGCAGUCUGCAACUCGACUGCACAAAGCUGGAAUCGCUAGUAAUCGCGGAUCAGCACGCCGCGGUGAAUACGUUCCCGGGCCUUGUACACACCGCCCGUCACACCAUGGAAGUCUGCAAUGCCCGAAGCCGGUGGCCUAACCACUUAUGUGGAAGGAGCCGUCUAAGGCAGGGCAGAUGACUGGGGUGAAGUCGUAACAAGGUACC
rnacentral:rRNA from 1 species